UAUUAUACUAAAAGUUAAUAUUUAAAACUAGAAUACUAUAAGAUAUAUUCUUUAAAUUUGAAGAAUUUGGCGGUAGUUUAGUCUUUUCAGAGGAACUUGUUUUUUAAUCGACAAACCACGAAUAAUCUUACUUGUUUUAAUUAUAAGUUUGUAUACCGUCAUUAUCAGAUAAUAUUUAAAGAAUAAUUAUUAAAUUUUAUAAAUUAAUAAAAUUAGAUCAAGGUGCAGCCAAUAAACAAGGAAAAAUGAGUUACAAUUAAUUAUAUAUAAUUAUGGAGUGAAAUAUGUAAAAUUUUAUGAAGGAGGAUUUGAUUGUAAUAUGAAUUAAUAAGACAUAAAGAUAUAAGCUCUAAACUAU
rnacentral:rRNA from 1 species